UCUUUUCCUUUUUUUCCCGCCGCCGCGGUAAUACGGAGGAUCCGAGCGUUAUCCGGAUUUAUUGGGUUUAAAGGGAGCGUAGGUGGAUUGUUAAGUCAGUUGUGAAAGUUUGCGGCUCAACCGUAAAAUUGCAGUUGAAACUGGCAGUCUUGAGUACAGUAGAGGUGGGCGGAAUUCGUGGUGUAGCGGUGAAAUGCUUAGAUAUCACGAAGAACUCCGAUUGCGAAGGCAGCUCACUAGACUGUUACUGACACUGAUGCUCGAAAGUGUGGGUAUCAAACAGG
rnacentral:rRNA from 1 species